AUCUAUGGCCAUACCACCCUGAACGCACCCCCUCUUGUCUGAUCUCGGAAGCUAAGCAGAGUCGGGCCUGAUUAGUACUUGGAUGGGAGACCGUCUGGGAAUACUGGGUGCUGUAGGCU
rnacentral:rRNA from 1 species